AAGUAUGUGCAAAAGAACAAUUUUCGAUGCAGUGUGAGAUGAAUGUCAUGAUCCAUGAUACCGUAUACUCCUCUUGUAGAACCUAUGGCUCGCAAAGGAAGAACCCAUAGGGGACUUGCGAUAUCCAUAUAUCUUGCUCGGAUUCAAUCAACACUUUCAAGUAAUAAUAAGUAAUAUUAAGUGCCCGAUAGGACUAAAACAGUCCAUUUUUUUCAUUUUGAAAUUUAAUGCAUAUAUCUAAUCCCACUUGGCAAUACCUCAAGCCUUUCUCUCUCUCAACAUAUGAAAUGUAAUAUGUGAUCAAUGCAGAAUACUAAGAUACAAAUCAAA
rnacentral:lncRNA from 1 species